rnacentral:tRNA from 1 species
GAGGGUACAGCUCAAGUGGUAGAGCACAUGCUUAGCAUGCAUGAGGUCCUGGGUUCAAUCCCCAGUACUUCCU